AGCUUGCUUCUAUCAAUCUUAGUGGCGAACGGGUGAGUAACGCGUAAUCAACCUGCCCUUCAGAGGGGGACAACAGUUGGAAACGACUGCUAAUACCGCAUACGAUCCRACCUCGGCAUCGAGGAUGGAUGAAAGGUGGCCUCUAUUUAUAAGCUAUCACUGAAGGAGGGGAUUGCGUCUGAUUAGCUAGUUGGAGGGGUAACGGCCCACCAAGGCAAUGAUCAGUAGCCGGUCUGAGAGGAUGAACGGCCACAUUGGGACUGAGACACGGCCCAGACUCCUACGGGAGGCAGCAGUGGGGAAUCUUCCGCAAUGGACGAAAGUCUGACGGAGCAACGCCGCGUGAGUGAUGACGGCCUUCGGGUUGUAAAGCUCUGUUAAUCGGGACGAAAGGUCCUCUUGCGAAUAGUUAGAGGAAUUGACGGUACCGGAAUAGAAAGCCACGGCUAACUACGUGCCAGCAGCCGCGGUAAUACGUAGGUGGCAAGCGUUGUCCGGAAUUAUUGGGCGUAAAGCGCGCGCAGGCGGAUCAGUUAGUCUGUCUUAAAAGUUCGGGGCUUAACCCCGUGAUGGGAUGGAAACUGCUGAUCUAGAGUAUCGGAGAGGAAAGUGGAAUUCCUAGUGUAGCGGUGAAAUGCGU
rnacentral:rRNA from 1 species